GUGCAGAUACAGGGAUAAAGGGAUAAGCUGUAGAUGCCAGUCUCAGGAAACAUCACAAAUAGAGUGGACCCUCCCCAGUUGUGAGGGGAAGGAGAUAUUUUCGUUGAGGUAUUUAAGAUUUUAGAGGGACAGUAAGGUUAAAGACAAGCCGUUAUAAACCUUUGACUCAUCUCUAAAACAUCAAGUGAAAGUGAAGUCGCUCAGUCGUGUCCGACUCUUUGUGACCCCAUGGACGGUAACCUACCAGGCUCCGCGGUCCAUGGGAUUUUCCAGGGAUAGCUGUCCACAGCACAUGCCACCAGGCCCUUCACACAGAGAUCACUUCCUCCUCCUUGCAGUUGAAGGAGCACCAUUUUAAGGUAAAGGAGGGCUGAGAGGAGCUACUCCACGUUCAAGGUCAGGAGGGGCGGCCAUGAGGAGAUACCCCUAAUCCAAGGGGAUCUUCCCGACCCAGGGAUUGAACCUGCCUCUCCACCACUAGCAGGCGGAUUCUUUUUCUACUGAGCCACCAGGGAAGCCCAAGAAUGGAAAGUACCUCUGGGUUUAUUUUUCGAAUUCUAGUCGUAGGAGGGCGUCUGUCUUUGCUAUGGCCCUCUGGUCUAGCUGCCCUUGGCGCCGCAGUGCAACAGAAGGGGUCAGGCCACUGGCCACUUCUGCCUUUUUGGUAACCCCCCUGGGGGUGAUGGCGCUUUAUCCCCAGCAGCAGGCACCUGGAUCAGCGGCUACUGAGCAGAUCACAGCUCAGGCCCCUGU
ensembl:lncRNA